rnacentral:rRNA from 1 species
AGCAGCCGCGGUAAUGCCAGCUCCAAUAGCGUAUAUUAAAGUUGUUGCAGUUAAAAAGCUCGUAGUUGAAUUUCGGGGUUAGUAGGUUGGUCAUGCCUCUGGUAUGUACUGGUCUCACUGAUUCCUCCUUCCUGAUGAGCCGUAAUGCCAUUAAUUUGGUGUUGCGGGGAAUUUGGACUGUUACUUUGAAAAAAUUAGAGUGUUUAAAGCAAGCUAACGCUUGAAUACAUUAGCAUGGAAUAAUGAAAUAGGACGUUCGAUCCUAUUUUGUUGGUUUCUAGGAUUGACGUAAUGAUUAAUAGGGAUAGUUGGGGGCAUUAGUAUUCAAUUGUCAGAGGUGAAAUUCUUGGAUUUAUUGAAGACUAACUACUGCGAAAGCAUUUGCCAAGGAUGUUUUCAUUAAUCAAGAACGAAAGUUAGGGGAUCGAAGACGAUCAGAUACCGUCGUAGUCUUAACCAUAAACUAUAGCCGACUAGGGAUCGGAUGGAUGUUAAUUUUUAAUGUACUCAUUCGGCGCCU